CGGCGCAUUAGCUAGUUGGUGGGGUAAAGGCUUACCAAGGCAAUGAUGCGUAGCCGAACUGAGAGGUUGAUCGGCCACAUUGGGACUGAGACACGGCCCAAACUCCUACGGGAGGCAGCAGUAGGGAAUCUUCCACAAUGGGCGAAAGCCUGAUGGAGCAACGCCGCGUGGGUGAAGAAGGUCUUCGGAUCGUAAAACCCUGUUGUUAGAGAAGAAAGUGCGUGAGAGUAACUGUUCACGUUUCGACGGUAUCUAACCAGAAAGCCACGGCUAACUACGUGCCAGCAGCCGCGGUAAUACGUAGGUGGCAAGCGUUAUCCGGAUUUAUUGGGCGUAAAGGGAACGCAGGCGGUCUUUUAAGUCUGAUGUGAAAGCCUUCGGCUUAACCGGAGUAGUGCAUUGGAAACUGGGAGACUUGAGUGCAGAAGAGGAGAGUGGAACUCCAUGUGUAGCGGUGAAAUGCGUAGAUAUAUGGAAGAACACCAGUGGCGAAAGCGGCUCUCUGGUCUGUAACUGACGCUGAGGUUCGAAAGC
rnacentral:rRNA from 1 species